AAAUUAGAUUAACUGUUUAAAUGCCAUGAACAGUAAAUUAAAUAUUUCAGAUGUUCAUUAAUCAGAAUAUAAUGUUUGUCCCGAGUAAGAGCUAAGAAAAUUGGAGGUUAUUGACUCAUAAUUCAUCUACAUAUUUAAGAUCAAUUACCUAGAAAAGGAAAAAGAGAUUGCAGUGAAAUAUUUGAGGCAUGUAGUUCCUUUGAAAAUGCAGUUUGGAUUUUCUCUUUUAAGAUCUGUCAAUACCAGAUUGUUACCUCAAGUCACUAGUUAUUGUUUGUAACUGUGAGGACUGUAUUUUUUUUUUAAUGAAACCUCCACAAAUAAAUAUUAAGAAAAGCAUUUACUUUCUGAAACCAAUGUAGAGGCCUGGCUAAGUCUCUUCAUUCAAUUUAAAUUUAUUUUAAAAGGCUAUAUUACAGUGCAGAUGUCUCAUAGUCUGCAUACAUUUUCUUAUUUGUAAAGCUGAAAAUUUGGGAUGUAUUUUUUCACCUGUUGCCUACACAGGACAAAAGGGGUGAGGGGGAAAGAAGAUUUACUGAUCAUGCAGGCUUUUGCAGGGAACUUGUUCAUCAUUUCAUUACUGGUUGGUAAAAAACAGCCACUUUUUUCCCUCUGCUUUUAGGUGCCCCAGAAAAUCUUACAAUAUGUGCUUCAGACAGUGCCAGAGAAGCAUAAUGAGGUGUUUAGUCACAGUUUGGAUGUGGUAUUUGUAGAAAACAGUGCAGGAACUGUGGGCUGGAUUUUCAAGGGAAUAGUCCUUGUAAUCCAAGGCUGCCUAAAUCCCAAACUGGUAUCCAGGCAAUAGCGGCACUAAAUUCUCUGUUUGCUUUUUGUUAGGCACUUGUCUGCUGAACACUUUCCUUUUCUUGCAAGAACUGCAGCAUGGCUGGGCAUUUUGAUGGUGGGAUUUGUUGGUUUGGUUUAGGGUUUUGUUUUGUUUCUUCUGUUAACCCUUGGAUUUCUGUUCACUCCCUUUAUUGCAGAGCAUCUCCGUAAAUAGGAAUGCAGGCAGUCUGGAUUCCUGACUUGGAAAGUAUUUAAUGGUCAGUGGAAAAAAAUGAGGAAGAGGAGGGUGUGGCUGCUGCUGAGAGGCUCUGGCCCUGCAAAGGGUCCCUGGCUUGUGGUCCUGCAUCGGCACAAAACGAAGACUUCUUACAGGAAAUGUAUGUUGAUCUUCUGAAGCUGAAUCCUCAGGCAUUUGUGGCCCGUCCUUGCAGCCUGGUGCAGCUCUGGCCCUUGGAAGGGCAUCACUCACUGCGGAGCUGCUGCAGCACCCGAGGUCUGAGCCCAUGGAUUCAGCGUGGAGAGCCCUCAUCUCCAGCAGCCAGGUGCAGCAGACUGCUGGGAAAAGAGAGCUCUGUGUGUGACAGCGAGAUUCACCUCUGCCCCUUCCACCGCUGCAUAUCAGCUUGGAUGUAGUCACCCUGUCAGGAGUGUAAAAUUUACAGGAGAAAUUAUUUUAACAUUGGAAAAGCUCUUACUCAUCUGAACCAUCAUUCAAAAUGCAUGAUGAAAGUCGCCAAGCAGAAGUUUUCUAUCCCACUAUCUACAGGACUCCUGCAGACCUUCUGAAGCUUGAGGAAGUGGUUUAUUCCAAGAACUCUAAUAUAUGAAGUCUUGUUAAGAUUAAAGUCUCUGGAGGCCGAAGUUCAUUUUUUGAGGAAGAAAUCCAGUUAACAAUAAAAUCAGCAUGUCUGUCUCAGGCUGCCCCUAAAAAGAAGCAGCAAUAAUCUGGUGAAAUGAACUCAGAGCACACAAGGAGGAGCCACUGGAGAUUAAUCUGCAAGGUAUUCAGAUUUUGCUACCAAACUGCUUCUGGGACUUCAUGCAGUUUGCCUCAUCUGAGAGAACCUUAGACAAGUUAUAUGGAAAGUUGAUAGUAAAUCCCAGAGCACCAGGUUUUGCUGCACAUAAUGCAGAUGUAACACGUGGGACCAGUGAAUGAUGGUAUAGUAUUUAGUAUUAUUAGUACUUUUCCUUACUUUUUCUUUCAGUAUUUUGUCCUUCUUUCCCUUUU